rnacentral:rRNA from 1 species
GAUGAACGCUGGCGGCGUGCUUAACACAUGCAAGUCGAACGGAAAGGCCCUGCUUUUGUGGGGUGCUCGAGUGGCGAACGGGUGAGUAACACGUGAGUAACCUGCCCUUGACUUUGGGAUAACUUCAGGAAACUGGGGCUAAUACCGGAUAGGAGCUCCUGCUGCAUGGUGGGGGUUGGAAAGUUUCGGCGGUAGGGGAUGGACUAGCGGCUUAUCAGCUUGUUGGUGGGGUAGUGGCUUACCAAGGCUUUGAAGGGUAGCCGGCCUGGGAGGGUGACCGGCCACAUUGCGACUGCGAUACGGCCCAGACUGCUACGUGAGGCAGCAGUGGGGAAUAUUGCACAAUGGGCGGAAGCCUGAUGCAGCAACGCCGCGUGCGUGAUGACGUCCUUCGGGUUGUAAACCGCUUUCGCCUGUGACGAAGCGUGAGUGACGGUAAUGGGUAAAGAAGCACCGGCUAACUACGUG